UUAACUAGAAAACUGUAGAACUGUCAAAUUUCCUAAGUCUUGAGAGAAAACAGAAAGAGAAAAACGUUUACUUCUGUUUACCCAGUUCCACUAUGGACUAUCAGGUGGUUAAAUAAAAUUUAUAAAAAUGUACAUAUAUUUAUUUCGCUUGUCACCUUAAUUAUUGUCUAUUUCUCGAAUGACAUUUAUCUACAACAUUUAGGAAAAAAUAUAUAUAUAUAAUAUGUACUAACAUAAGAUUUCUAUCCAAGCCCAAUGUGAUUAAAGUUGUUUUUUGUCCAAUAAUUUAAAAAAAAAACUCCCAUAGUAUCUUUCCGUGUGCAUAAUCGUUUUCGCCUUUAUUCGCCGCGAAGCUUUUUGACCAGGAACAAGUCGCGGAAUUUUUGUUUUGCUUUGUUUUUCUUCGUGGAAAUAUUUUAUCUCCUGAAGAUUGAUUUGUUCAAUCAAUCUGUGGUGCUAGCAGUGCUGAAUAACUACGGGAAUGGAAGCAAAACAGCAUUAUAAUGCCUGCAAUGCACACCAGACAAGCGACUGUUAGGCGAGCUGUCGGGGCUUUUUGGAGCUGCUACACAUUUUCAAUGUUGAAUGAAAUUAUGAAAUAAAAAACAAAACCUAUAAUAA